rnacentral:rRNA from 1 species
UGGUUGAUGCCAUGCUUCCAAGAAAAGCUUCUAAGCUUCAGGUAACCAGGAACCGUACCCCAAACCGACACAGGUGGUCGGGUAGAGAAUACCAAGGCGCUUGAGAGAACUCGGGUGAAGGAACUAGGCAAAAUGGCACCGUAACUUCGGGAGAAGGUGCGCCGGCUAGGGUGAAGGAUUUACUCCGUAAGCUCUGGCUGGUCGAAGAUACCAGGCCGCUGCGACUGUUUAUUAAAAACACAGCACUCUGCAAACACGAAAGUGGACGUAUAGGGUGUGACGCCUGCCCGGUGCCGGAAGGUUAAUUGAUGGGGUUAGCGCAAGCGAAGCUCUUGAUCGAAGCCCCGGUAAACGGCGGCCGUAACUAUAACGGUCCUAAGGUAGCGAAAUUCCUUGUCGGGUAAGUUCCGACCUGCACGAAUGGCGUAACGAUGGCGGCGCUGUCUCCACCCGAGACUCAGUGAAAUUGAAAUCGCUGUGAAGAUGCAGUGUAUCCGCGGCUAGACGGAAAGACCCCGUGAACCUUUACUGUAGCUUUGCACUGGACUUUGAGCCUGCUUGUGUAGGAUAGGUGGGAGGCUUUGAAGCGUGGACGCCAGUUCGCGUGGAGCCAUCCUUGAAAUACCACCCUGGCAUGCUUGAGGUUCUAACUCUGGUCCGUGAUCCGGAUCGAGGACAGUGUAUGGUGGGCAGUUUGACUGGGGCGGUCUCCUCCUAAAGAGUAACGGAGGAGUACGAAGGUGCGCUCAGACCGGUCGGAAAUCGGUCGCAGAGUAUAAAGGCAAAAGCGCGCUUGACUGCGAGACAGACACGUCGAGCAGGUACGAAAGUAGGUCUUAGUGAUCCGGUGGUUCUGUAUGGAAGGGCCAUCGCUCAACGGAUAAAAGGUACUCCGGGGAUAACAGGCUGAUACCGCCCAAGAGUUCAUAUCGACGGCGGUGUUUGGCACCUCGAUGUCGGCUCAUCACAUCCUGGGGCUGAAGCCGGUCCCAAGGGUAUGGCUGUUCGCCAUUUAAAGUGGUACGCGAGCUGGGUUUAGAACGUCGUGAGACAGUUCGGUCCCUAUCUGCCGUGGACGUUUGAGAUUUGAGAGGGGCUGCUCCUAGUACGAGAGGACCGGAGUGGACGAACCUCUGGUGUUCCGGUUGUCACGCCAGUGGCAUUGCCGGGUAGCUAUGUUCGGAAAAGAUAACCGCUGAAAGCAUCUAAGCGGGAAACUUGCCUCAAGAUGAGAUCUCACUGGGAACUUGAUUCCCCUGAAGGGCCGUCGAAGACUACGACGUUGAUAGGCUGGGUGUGUAAGCGUUGUGAGGCGUUGAGCUAACCAGUACUAAUUGCCCGUGAGGCUUGACCA